AUUGAACGCUGGCGGCAGGCCUAACACAUGCAAGUCGAGCGGAGCGGCGGACGGGGGAGUAAGGCCUAGGAAGCUGCCUGUGAGUGGGGGAUAACGUCCGGGAACGGGCGCUAAGACAGCAUACUUUCAGAGGAGCCUAGGUCGGAUUAGCUAGUUGGGGGGGGAAAGGCCUACCAAGGCGACGAGCCGUAACUGGUCCGAGAGGAGGAUCAGUCCAACUGGAACCGAGACACGGUCCAGAAUCCUACGGGAGGCAGGCGUGGGGAAUAUUGGACAAUGGGCGAAAGCCUGACCCAGCCAUGCCGCGUGUGUGAAGAAGGUCUUCGGAUUGUAAAGCACUUUUAGUUGGGAGGCGUUACCAACAGAAUAAGCACCGGCUAACUUCGUGCCAGCAGCCGCGGUAAUUC
rnacentral:rRNA from 1 species